AGGGUUUGAUCCUGGCUCAGAUUGAACGCUGGCGGAAUGCUUUACACAUGCAAGUCGAACGGCAGCACGGAGAGCUUGCUCUCUGGUGGCGAGUGGCGAACGGGUGAGUAAUAUAUCGGAACGUGUCCAAUAAUGGGGGAUAACGAGUCGAAAGAUUCGCUAAUACCGCAUACGCCCUACGGGGGAAAGCAGGGGAUCGUAAGACCUUGCGUUAAUGGAGCGGCCGAUAUCUGAUUAGCUUGUUGGUGAGGUAAAGGCUCACCAAGGCGACGAUCAGUAGCUGGUUUGAGAGAACGACCAGCCACACUGGAACUGAGACACGGUCCAGACUCCUACGGGAGGCAGCAGUGAGGAAUAUUGGUCAAUGGGCGCAAGCCUGAACCAGCCAUGCCGCGUGCAGGAAGAAGGUCCUAUGGAUUGUAAACUGCUUUUAUUUGGGAAUAAACCUCUGGUCGUGCACCGGAGCUGAAGGUACCAAAUGAAUAAGCACCGGCUAACUCCGUGCCAGCAGCCGCGGUAAUACGGAGGGUGCAAGCGUUAUCCGGAAUCAUUGGGUUUAAAGGGUCCGCAGGCGGACUUAUAAGUCAGUGGUGAAAGCCUACAGCUUAACUGUAGAACUGCCAUUGAUACUGUAGGUCUUGAAUUCGGUCGAAGUGGGCGGAAUGUGUAGUGUAGCGGUGAAAUGCUUAGAUAUUACACAGAACACCGAUAGCGAAGGCAGCUCACUAGGCCUGGAUUGACGCUCAGGGACGAAAGCGUGGGGAUCAAACAGGAUUAGAUACCCUGGUAGUCCACGCUGUAAACGAUGAUUACUCGUUUUCGGCGAUAUACUGUCGGAGACUAAGCGAAAGUGAUAAGUAAUCCACCUGGGGAGUACGAUCGCAAGGUUGAAACUCAAAGGAAUUGACGGGGGCCCGCACAAGCGGUGGAGCAUGUGGUUUAAUUCGAUGAUACGCGAGGAACCUUACCAGGGCUUGAAAGUUAGUGAAGAAUGUGGAAACAUGUUCGUCAGCAAUGACACGAAACUAGGUGCUGCAUGGCUGUCGUCAGCUCGUGCCGUGAGGUGUUGGGUUAAGUCCCGCAACGAGCGCAACCCUUGUCAUUAGUUGCUACGAAAGGGCACUCUAAUGAGACUGCCGGUGACAAACCGGAGGAAGGUGGGGAUGACGUCAAGUCCUCAUGGCCCUUAUGGGUAGGGCUACACACGUCAUACAAUGGCUGGUACAGAGGGUUGCCAACCCGCGAGGGGGAGCCAAUCCCAUAAAACCAGUCGUAGUCCGGAUCGCAGUCUGCAACUCGACUGCGUGAAGUCGGAAUCGCUAGUAAUCGCGGAUCAGCAUGUCGCGGUGAAUACGUUCCCGGGUCUUGUACACACCGCCCGUCACACCAUGGGAGCGGGUUCUGCCAGAAGUAGUUAGCCUAACCGCAAGGAGGGCGAUUACCACGGCAGGGUUCGUGACUGGGGUGAAGUCAUAACAAGGUAACC
rnacentral:rRNA from 1 species